AACGAACGCUGGCGGCAUGCCUAACACAUGCAAGUCGAACGAGACCUUCGGGUCUAGUGGCGCACGGGUGCGUAACGCGUGGGAACCUGCCUUUAGGUUCGGAAUAACUCAGAGAAAUUUGAGCUAAUACCGGAUAAUGUCUUCGGACCAAAGAUUUAUCGCCUUUAGAUGGGCCCGCGUUGGAUUAGCUAGUUGGUGGGUAAAGGCCUACCAAGGCGACGAUCCAUAGCUGGUCUGAGAGGAUGAUCAGCCACACUGGGACUGAGACACGGCCCAGACUCCUACGGAGGCAGCAGUGGGGAAUAUUGGACAAUGGGCGAAAGCCUGAUCCAGCAAUGCCGCGUGAGUGAUG
rnacentral:rRNA from 1 species